rnacentral:rRNA from 1 species
AAUAAGCGGAGGAAAAGAAACCAACAGGGAUUGCCUUAGUAGCGGCGAGUGAAGCGGCAAAAGCUCAAAUUUGAAAUCUGGCUCUUUCAGAGUCCGAGUUGUAAUUUGAAGAAGGUAUCUUUGGGCCUGGCUCUUGUCUAUGUUUCUUGGAACAGAACGUCACAGAGGGUGAGAAUCCCGUGCGAUGAGAUGACCCAGGUCCGUGUAAAGUUCCUUCGACGAGUCGAGUUGUUUGGGAAUGCAGCUCUAAGUGGGUGGUAAAUUCCAUCUAAAGCUAAAUAUUGGCGAGAGACCGAUAGCGAACAAGUACAGUGAUGGAAAGAUGAAAAGAACUUUGAAAAGAGAGUGAAAAAGUACGUGAAAUUGUUGAAAGGGAAGGGCUUGAGAUCAGACUUGGCAUUUUGCAUGUUGCUUCUUCGGGGGCGGCCUCUGCGGUUUGUCGGGCCAGCAUCAGUUUGGGCGGUAGGACAAUCGCGCGGGAAUGUGGCACGGCCUCGGCUGUGUGUUAUAGCCCGCGUGGAUACUGCCAGCCUAGACUGAGGACUGCGGUUUAUACCUAGGAUGUUGGCAUAAUGAUCUUAAGUCGCCCGUCUUG